rnacentral:rRNA from 1 species
GCGCGGCCUACCAUGCAAGUCGAGCGGCAGCACAGGUAGCUUGCUACCGGGUGGCGAGCGGCGGACGGGUGAGUAAUGCGUGGGAAUCUGCCCAUUAGUGGGGGAUAACAUUCGGAAACGGACGCUAAUACCGCAUAAUCCCUACGGGGGAAAGCAGGGGAUCUUCGGACCUUGCGCUGAUGGAUGAGCUCACGUCGGAUUAGCUAGUUGGCGGGGUAAAGGCCCACCAAGGCGACGAUCCGUAGCUGGUCUGAGAGGAUGAUCAGCCACAUUGGGACUGAGACACGGCCCAAACUCCUACGGGAGGCAGCAGUGGGGAAUAUUGGACAAUGGGCGCAAGCCUGAUCCAGCCAUGCCGCGUGUGUGAAGAAGGCCUUCGGGUUGUAAAGCACUUUCAGCGGGGAGGAAGGCUUGGGGCUAAUACCCUCGAGUACUUGACGUUACCCGCAGAAGAAGCACCGGCUAAUUUCGUGCCAGCAGCCGCGGUAAUACGAAAGGUGCGAGCGUUAAUCGGAAUUACUGGGCGUAAAGCGUGCGUAGGCGGCUGUUUAAGUCGGAUGUGAAAGCCCCGGGCUCAACCUGGGAGGGUCAUCCGAUACUGGGCAGCUAGAGUGUAGUAGAGGGAGGUGGAAUUUCCGGUGUAGCGGUGAAAUGCGUAGAGAUCGGAAGGAACACCAGUGGCGAAGGCGGCCUCCUGGACUAACACUGACGCUGAGGUACGAAAGCGUGGGGAUCAAACAGGAUUAGAUACCCUGGUAGUCCACGCCGUAAACGAUGUCAACUAGCCGCUGGAAGCCUUGUGUUUUUGGUGGCGCAGCUAACGCGCUAAGUUGACCGCCUGGGGAGUACGGCCGCAAGGUUAAAACUCAAAUGAAUUGACGGGGGCCCGCACAAGCGGUGGAGCAUGUGGUUUAAUUCGAUGCAACGCGAAGAACCUUACCAGCCCUUGACAUGCA